UAGCGGAGGGACUAGCGUUGUUCGGAAUUACUGGGCGUAAAGCGCACGUAGGCGGAUUUGUAAGUCAGGGGUGAAAUCCCGGGGCUCAACCUCGGAACUGCCUUUGAUACUGCAAUCUCGAAGUCGGAAGAGGUGAGUGGGAAUUCCUAGUGGUAGAGGUGAAAAUGCGCAGAUAUCAAGGAAGAACACCCGUGGCGAAGGCGGCUCUCUGGGACGGUACUGACGCUGAGACGCGAAAGCGUGGGGAGCAAACAGG
rnacentral:rRNA from 1 species